rnacentral:rRNA from 1 species
CCCUUAGAGUUUGAUCCUGGCUCAGGACGAACGCUGGCGGCGUGCCUAAUACAUGCAAGUCGAACGAAACUUUCUUACACCGAAUGCUUGCAUUCACCGUAAGAAGUUGAGUGGCGGACGGGUGAGUAACACGUGGGUAACCUGCCUAAAAGAAGGGGAUAACACUUGGAAACAGGUGCUAAUACCGUAUAUCUCUAAGGAUCGCAUGAUUCUUAGAUGAAAGAUGGUUCUGCUAUCGCUUUUAGAUGGACCCGCGGCGUAUUAACUAGUUGGUGGGGUAACGGCCUACCAAGGUGAUGAUACGUAGCCGAACUGAGAGGUUGAUCGGCCACAUUGGGAAUGAGACACGGCCCAAACUCCUACGGGAGGCAGCAGUAGGGAAUCUUCCACAAUGGACGCAAGUCUGAUGGAGCAACGCCGCGUGAGUGAAGAAGGUCUUCGGAUCGUAAAAAAAUGUUGUUAGAGAAGAACACGAGUGAGAGUAACUGUCAUCGAUGAC